CCGCCCAUGUAUAUGUGUUGCUCUGUGAACAAGUGCGAAAUGAAUGGAAUUGAAGGUGCUGAGCGUGUUGAGUAAUGUACAAGAGUUCAAGAUACAUUAUAUUUAUAUAUGUCGUAAUUUUGAAAAGUAUAAUGAAGUAUGCAAUGUAAUUAAUCGUGAUUCUGUAGUGUAAAUUUUCUGUUAUAGAAUAGAAUUACAUACAUGGGGUAUAUUAGCGUAGUACACUUCCUUAACAAAAGUAUACAUGAACCUAAUACUGGCGAGCUGGCGAGCAUGGUGUGAUAGUGUUGAAACAGCUUGUAGUGUGGUUUGUGUAAAACUAUGUAAAGACUAGAAGUUCCUGUCAUAAAUUGUAAAAUGGAAGACGGUGAUAUGCUAAGCUUAGAAUCUGGAACAGCGGACGAUGUUGUCGAAGUACUUAAAAAGUUCAUCGACAGGCACAAUCAGAUGUUCACAUUCCAUGACUUGAACGAUAAUGGAAGACGCCAGAAGUUGUGGGUUUCUCUUUUUCAUCGCUUGGAGAAAUCGGAAGAACGUUCCUGUCACAGAUAUUGCCUAAACUGCAUCAGAAUAAUAAGCCGAGAUAAGACUGAACUGAAUGAACUAGUGUGCACAAAGUGUCUUGAGAUUUUGCUGCAUCGUGCAGGGUUGGUUUCACAGGAGGAACUUCUCAGCAGUGAUAAUGAAUUGCCUGUCAAUUAUGAAGUGAUGUCAGAAGCAAUGAAAUGUCUUUGUAACAUCAUCUUCAAUUGCCCGAGUGCUCAAGUACUGAUUUCCAGGAAUCGUUCACUAGGGGGCAUUGUUAAACAACUCCAAACAUACAAGGAUCCUGAACUCCCCCAAGAUAUUAAGUUCUUCAGUAUAAAGAUGCUGUUUCUCAUCACUGCAUUGUGUGAAGGAGUCACACCUGAGAUGAAGAAUGAGCUACUUAUGUAUCUUAAAGAUGUUUUAGAUCUCAUUUUAAAAGAAGUUGGAAGGAUGAGAGGUGACAAGAAAGGAGCUGCAUCUUCUGAUAUGAAAAUCAUAAUGUCUGAUGAUCAGGUGACACUGACAUGUGAGGUAUUGAAGACGCUUUUCAAUCUGACUGUAAAAUCUCGAGAACAACCUUCUGUUGGUGAAAAAGAAGCAGAAGAUGCCAGGUUUCUUCACCUAGCUUCUCUUCUUCAUGACCUUCUUCUUUGCGAAACACAGUCAUGUGAUAAACGGUGUGAGCUUCAUAAACAUGUAGUGAAUCUUCUGAUGAAUGUGCCAGACAACUGCUAUGAGAAGCUGCUCACCCCUGCACACAGAAGUCCACAUGAUCCACCUAAGGAGUCUGAGUAUGAUGGCAAAAACAUGGAAGCACUGGUUUUGCUUUUAGACUUUCUGGACUCUAAGUUGGACAUGGCAGAACAGAAUAUGAAGUCUCAGAAUGACCUCUGCCCCACAUUGUUUCUGCUGACAAAGUGUGUACGCCACCACCGCUCAAUUCGUAAAUUCCUACGUCAGCGUGUACUUCCUCCUCUAACAGAAGUUCAUACUCGGCCUGAAGAGGGCAGCACCCUGCGUAAUAAACUGUGUCGCCUUCUUACUACUCCUUUUACGCAAGUUCGUGGUUUAGUCGAAGAGUUCCUCUUCAUCCUUUGUAAAGAAAACGUGAUGCGCAUGGUGAAGUACACAGGGUAUGGAAAUGCAGCUGGAUUCUUGGCAAAGAGAGGUGCGAUGCUUGGUGGAAGUGGAAAUUUGGAUUCUGGUUCAGGGGCACAGUAUUCAUCUGACAGUGAGGACAGUGACACAGAAGAAUACAAGAAGUACAAAUCUCAGAUCAACAUUAUGACGGGUUGUUACGAGAAGCCUCACCCAAACCCCAUGGCAUCCAUGUCAGAGGAGCAGAAGGAGUAUGAAGCACUGGAGCUGGUCAAGAAGCUGGAUCAACUUGCCAGAGAUGGUGUUGUACAACCAUGCCGAAUUGGGGAAGAUGGCCGUCCUGAGCCAGUGGGUCAAGUAUUGGAGUUAAUUGAAGAUAUUUCUCAACAGCAGCCCAAGCCAACACAAGAUGAUGAUUGAAUUUGAACUUGUUUCUCCUCUUUAAGUACUUAUGAAACAGCACUUCGCAGUAUAAUGAAAUUUGGUGUUGUGGGAGAGUUUAAAAGCCUGCAACUCAUCAGCAUGAGAUGUCAAGUGACUUUUCUGCCAUAAGGGCAAGGAGCUGUUGCUGUGCAGUCAUAAUAAGCAAGUUACAGCAUUUCUCUGACAUCCGUUUUGCCGUCCUAUCAUCUGUGUAUGGCUGUUUCAGAUAGUCUUUUCUCUUGAGGCUGUGCUACCACAAUCUGUUCAUGUCAUGACUGAAGUGAAAAUUUGUGCAUGUCAAGACUGAAGUGAAAAUCUGUGCAUAUCAAGACUGAAACAUAACAGGAAGAUAAUAUUACAGUCUUAUAGUAAGAAAUUUCUGAUGUGUGUGACCAAGUCAGACUGAUAAAUUGUCCAAAAAACUGCCUUUCUUGCUUUACUAUGGUUGCAUGUAGGAGGAUAACACAUAUGCAUGAUAUCUGACUUUGUGCUUUGUUUUGACGCUGUCUGUGUGCAAUGUCGGUUACUGUUCACUGGCUUUUCUCUAUUGACACCACAUGUUUGGCCUAACUGUCCAUCUUCAGGUGUACAGGUUGCUGUGAUUGUGGGAUCUGCUGCUUACUGUGAUGCUGUUCUGUUUCUGCUAUGUAGAGGCCUUGGAUUACAUGUGGUUAUGUGGGUUAGCCAUCUGUUGCGUAUUUACGUGUCUCUGAGCUGCUUGUGUUAUAGCCUUAUAGUUUUGUUGCCUGUGGCUGUCUUGAAUGUUCUUGCUGGGGUCGGAGAUUGUUGUGAUGAUGGCCAGCCACAACACAACAGACGUGUGCAGCUCAAGGACACCUAAAUAAGAAACAGAUGGUUAACCCACAUAACCAGAUGUAAUCCGAGUCCUCUGCAUAAGAGAAACAGAACAGCAUUACAGUAAGCAGCAGGUUCCACAGUUGCAACAACCGGUACACCUGAAGAUGGCCAGUUAAGCCGAAACAUGUAGUGGCAAUAAAAAGAAAACUAUGAGAGAAUAUUAACCGACGUUGCACAGAGACAGCAUCAAAGCAUAAUGCAAAGUCAGAUCCAAGCAGUGCAACAGGAUGCUGCAAUAUAUUAUUCCUGAUAUCAGUUUAUGUAAAAUUCAUUCAUGGUCUUCUGGCUUGAGACAUGUGUUUACCAAAGUUUUCUGUUGGUCUCUAGAAGCUAGGGACAGUGUAUUCUCUGGUUGUGAUGAAAUUGUGACUAGUUGGAAAUCAGUGUGAUGUGUCACGGGGCAUGUCACAUACAUGUGAAGCACUAUAUAUGGAGCAAGAUCUACAUGCAUCAAUGCAUCACGUGCAAGACAUUUUUUUAUAUUUGGUAGUCCCUGUUGAUCUCAUUUCCAUCUUCUAAUGGUUAAGAAGAAAGCAGUCAACAUUAGUCUGUUAGCACCUGCACACGCUGGUUCCUAGCUCGCGGAUUUUCUUCUUUUUUCUUCUACCAUGAAGAUUGAGGUGAUAUGUUCCUCUGAAAUGCUGGUUUAUAUAAGAUCUAUGUGGAGCCACAUCCAAGAAGACUGCUAUCUUCAUAGUCACUGCUGUGAAAACCUCAAGUCAUACCUUCUAAUGCUUAAGUUUAUCAAUGCUGUAAAUUUAAUAAUCAAUAUAUAACAGGAAUUGUUCAUUUAUGGAAUAUGAUCACUUGUAUUCAUGAAUUUAUAAGGCAGAAUACUAGUUGGAUCUUUUCCUUUCUUUUUUAUGCAUAUUUGGCAUUUUCUGUGACAGAACUGUGUGUAUUCCCAUUGUUGUAAGUUGCAGUUCUUGCAGGCAACACACAUAUUGAUGGAGUGUGAUAUGGGAGUUCCCUCAUGAAACCUGUCUAAAGCAUAUGAGAAGCAUUAUAUCAGCUUCCACUUCGGUUGGUCUAAAUCACUUUCCUCUAUGUCUUACAGAAGUAUUAGAAGUUACAAACAUUUGCUACAGUUUUUGUUGAUGUGUGAAAUGGAUUCUGUAAGCUUGCACCUUACCUCUCUUUGCUAGUUUUUAUCGAAUAAAGUUCAGCCAAUAAUGUCUCUUUCCUGAAA